rnacentral:lncRNA from 1 species
AGGCUGUACAGCUUCCCGUCGAAGCCUUGGGAGAAGUCACGAAGGCAAAAGUGGAUUAUCGCCGUGCGACGAGUCAAUUUUGGGGACUCCUCAAGCUGGCAGCCUAAUCGGGAUUCUAGGGUGUGCUCCAAACAUUUUGUGAAUGGCGAGAAAAGCACAAUUGAAAGCCACCCAGGUUAUGUGCCUACAAUAUUCCCGAUCGUGUACAAGAAGCGGUCUACUUCAGCAACUGCUCAGCUGGCUAGAUUUAAUAGGUAAGCUUCUCUCUGAUGUGCUACUUGGGCUUUGGUUUGCAUGAAAAGCAGGGACGCUUGAGUACAUUACGUUUUUUUCCCAUUUAGUUUCACCAUAAAGCGGUCAGUCUCUCCCAACAAAUAUGAAUGCAAGCGUGUAGAUGUGGCCAAAACAAAAGUCAUGUGUGCUUAGAAGAAGCAGUGGCAUUAAAGCUUCUGUUAAAUGUGCAGGUGGAAGCAGCGACACUCCAGCUCAUCUGCUCCUUCUGCUGCCCUUUCAUCACCUGUUGCUGUCACAUCACCUGCUACUCCUGCACCAGCAGCUUUCCAUGGAUCUCCUUCUCCCCACACAACGGAGACAGCAGGAGCCAUAGGUACAGACCUUUUGUACGAGCGGAGCUCAACAGAGGGCUUGGAUCUACUGUCCACCGUUGCUGCUGAGCUUCGCACUGCAGUAAAAUCUGUGGAAACACAAACUGAAGAUGCAAGCACGUCAAGCAAGAACUUUUCAGUGUUCAUGUGCUUCAUCAAUGAGUCGGAGGCAUCAACUCAAGUGACGCACCUUGAGACAUGCGACAGCAGUGUGCAACAUAAACCGGAGGUCAGCAGCAGGCAUAGUGGCCCUGAUCACAGAACCAGCUGCUUCUCUGGCUAUGACAGUGUCACUAAAUCUGCAAAUGCAUUGCAAGACUUGUGCAAUGUCAGCAUAAAGGUGUUUGCAAUGCUUCUGAGCAUACUUCCACCUUCGUCAGACCGGAAAUGUGAUGUAAC